rnacentral:rRNA from 1 species
UGCGUAGGCGGUUUUCUAAGUUUGGUGUGAAAUCUCCCGGCUUAACUGGGAGGGUGCGCCGAAGACUGGAAGGCUUGAGUAUGGGAGAGGUAAGCGGAAUUCCUGGUGUAGCGGUGAAAUGCGUAGAUAUCAGGAGGAACACCUGCGGUGUAGACGGCUUACUGGACCAUAACUGACGCUGAGGCACGAAAGCGUGGGUAGCAAACA